AUUGAACGCUGGCGGCAGGCCUAACACAUGCAAGUCGAACGGUAACAGGAAGAAGCUUGCUUCUUUGCUGACGAGUGGCGGACGGGUGAGUAAUGUCUGGGAAACUGCCUGAUGGAGGGGGAUAACUACUGGAAACGGUAGCUAAUACCGCAUAACGUCGCAAGACCAAAGAGGGGGACCUUCGGGCCUUUUGCCAUCGGAUGUGCCCAGAUGGGAUUAGCUAGUAGGUGGGGUAACGGCUCACCUAGGCGACGAUCCCUAGCUGGUCUGAGAGGAUGACCAGCCACACUGGAACUGAGACACGUCCAGACUCCUACGGGAGGCAGCAGUGGGGAAUAUUGCACAAUGGGCGCAAGCCUGAUGCAGCCAUGCCGCGUGUAUGAAGAAGGCCUUCGGGUUGUAAAGUACUUUCAGCGGGGAGGAAGGGAGUAAAGUUAAUACCUUUGCUCAUUGACGUUACCCGCAGAAGAAGCACCGGCUAACUCCGUG
rnacentral:rRNA from 1 species